CUUUUUUAUAUUCAGCCCGUGUCCAACAAGAAAAACACUAGCCCAACUAUCCAAGCCCAAAUCAAAACUUAUAACCAAAACAAAAUUAUAUUUACUGGCCCAAAGCUCCAAAUCUAAACCCAAUGCUAAUAGUCUCCCUCUCCCUCAACACACAGCCCCGUAAUCCCAUUUCUCAGAGGUCUCAAAUUUCAAUCUCCUACUUUCACGCAAUACGUUUCCCCCAAAAUUUUUGUCACAACUACGUACCUUCUAGGUUAUAAAAGUUAAAAUUCACUUACCAAUUUUGUUCAAACAAUCAGAUAACCCCUUCAUUUUUUUACUUUCUCGUUUUCCUAUUUGUCUUGCAAGAACAAUCAAACAAUGGUGCGAACGGUAAAGCGGGAAUUGAUGGACAAUCGAGCAGUUGAAAUACCUCAACUUUAAGAAUUGGAUUAGCGGUAAUUUGAUUUCCCAUCAUUUUAGCAAUUUCUUUCUUUGUUUUUGUAUUUCAAUUUUGAGUUAUUUAUUUAUUUUGCAUAUUCGGGUCAUUAAUGUCUCUGUUUUUUCCCCUAUAUUUGUUUACUUUGAUUAAUUCGUAUUUAGUGAAAAGAUUGAUGAAAGCUCAUUGCAAAAAAUCUCUAUCUUUCGAUUUGUUUUGUCUUCAUAUACUGGAAAAAAAUUGAGUGUUUUAAUCUUUAAUUUAAUUUUCUUCCAGAAUGGGUGCUUCUGGGAAGUGGGUAAAAUCACUCAUUAGUCUGAAGAAGCCGGGAUCAAAUGACAGUGUAAGCUAAUAAUCUUUGUAUUAUCUUUAUAUGAUUUUUAUAUUGAACUGUGUUGAGGGCUUGAGCCUUAUAAUCUUCGUAUUAUCUUUAUAUGAUUUUUUUGGUAUUUUAUGCAAUGAUUUUUAUAUUGAACUGUGUUGAGCUUAAUUCAUAUGUAAUGGUGUGUUUGGUUGGGCUCAAUAGUUGUUGUUGACUUCUUUUUGCCUUGUUGGCUUAAUGAUUGUUAUUGUUGUGUCGUCCAUGAGUUGCUCGCUGAAAAUGUCCGCUCGUUUCGUGCUAGACUGCUAGGGUUCGCCCUGAAACAAGCACUAGCCACCCAUGGGCUGAGUCCCAAUGGUCGAGCUGACGAUAUCACUGUUUA
rnacentral:lncRNA from 1 species